rnacentral:sRNA from 2 species
UCUCUCUGUACGGGAAGGAUGAGAAGCUUCGACUAAGGUUCGAUUCGAGCGAAAGCGAGAAAGCGUUGCCGCAGGCAACGACCCGAAGGGCGAAGCGCGCAGCGCUGAGUAAUCCUUCCCCCACCACCA